rnacentral:rRNA from 1 species
AUUGAACGCUGGCGGCAGGCCUAACACAUGCAAGUCGAACGAGUGGCGGACGGGUGAGUCAUGUCUGGGAAACUGCCUGAUGGAGGGGGAUAACUACUGGAAACGGUAGCUAAUACCGCAUACCAUCGGAUGAGCCCAGAUGGGAUUAGCUAGUAGGUGGGGUAAAGGCUCACCUAGGCGACGAUCCCUAGCUGGUCUGAGAGGAUGACCCGCCACACUGGAACUGAGACACGGUCCAGACGCCUACGGGAGUCAGCAGUGGGGAAUAUUGCACAAUGGGCGCAAGCCUGGUGCAGCCAUGCCGCGUGUAUGAAGAAGGCCUUCGGGUUGUAAAGUACUUUCAGCGGGGAGGCGUUACCCGCAGAAGAAGCCCCGGCUAACUCCGUGCCAGCAGCCGCGGUAAUAC